CCCUGAGGUCAGGCUCUGAGGAAGGCGGGGCAAGAAGGGGACUAGAGUGGAAGAAAGUGUUCUUCAGGGAGAUUGGGCUCUGGAAGCAGUUGGUAUAGGAGGGAUACACGUGCACGUGUGUGUCUAUGUGGGGGGUGUGUCUGUGUGUGCAUGUGUGUGCGUGUGUGUGUGUGUGUGUGUGUGUGUGUAGGGGGUAUAGGUGCAGAGACAAAGCAGCUGGUGAAUGGGGAUGGAAACCAAAAAAGGAAUUCUUGUGAUCUGUCCCUGCAGGCCUCAGCCCCCUUCACUCCGGGUGGCAGUGACUGGAAGGAGCCGGAUUUGGCCCAAGGACACAACGCUUGGCUCGCCUUGCAGAACACGCUGCUCCUGGGGACUUUAGUCCUGGUCACCGUGGUCCUCCAUUCCAGCAGCCACUCCCGGCACCGCCCGGCUCCUGCGGCCGGCGCUUUGAGUCUUUGAGGAAAGUGAUCUGAUAACAACCACGCAUAUUAAGAACUACAAGAAAGAGGCCUCUGAAGCUCAGCUUGGGGUGCAGGGGAUAGGAUGGAUGUGGCCACCACAAAGGAAGACUUUGGAGCCCUGGCCCAAGCCUGACAACACUCAGGGGGCCUUACGCUGCCACCAGGGCAUCGCCUCUGCCUGCCCAUAGGGUUCUAUGAGGGCCCCAUCGCACAGCUGAGAAAAACGAAGCACAGACAGUGGGGUAAGUUGCGCAGGUUACCGGUUCAUAAAUGACGGUCAGUAUCCACACCCAGGCUGGCCUGUCUCCGCGGCCAGAACCGCAAACCACGUCACCCUCUGCCUUCGUUCCCCAAGAUGAUCUGAUUCCGGUGGGUCUGGAGCCGGCCUUCGACAACCGCCCCCGGAGGUCACUGGGCCACACUUUGAGAACCACUCUGGCUUCCGUUUCAGUCAGGCUGAACAUUAGAGCCACCUGAGAAACUUCAGAAACUAUGAAUACCGUUCCCUUCCCCAAACACAGGCUUUUUCAGUGGGUCCAGAGUCGCCUCGCAGGUGUGGGUGACGUUCUGGUCAGCAUUUUCUUUUAAGGGGACAGACAGAGUGUAUAUUUAUCCAACCAAUAACACAUAUGAAGACCUGCUCCGUGCCCUGUGCUGCACGGGGGCUGGGGACACAAAGGGGGGUGGGACACUGUGUGUGCCUUCCAGGAGCACAGGUGCCUGACACUUCUGGUGGGGCACAGCAUGCCCUUUCUGGGGGGAGGAGGAAGGAUGCAGCUUCCUUCUUGCUUGUUCUCCUCUGGUGAGCUCCAGAAAGAGCCAGUCUCCUCGAAUGUGAAGUCCUUCUGGCUUCUCCCCGAUGUGGUCCUUCGCCCUCGCCUGACAGGUCACGGCUGGUUCUCCACCCAGAACUCAGCUUCCAGAAACACAGCCCUGAGAGACCACCUAUAUGUGGAGCUCUCACAUUUUAGAGGGAGCAGACAGCAGGCAGGAGACCCUGGAGAGUUUGAAAAACACUGAUGCCCAGGUCCAUCCCUGGAGAGACUGGUCAAUACUUUCAGAAGUUCCUAUGCAAGGCGUCUGGGCCUUCCAGCUGACCUUGUUUGGAAUUUGGAGAGACAACCCCAGGGACACUCACUCCUUGCUGCCACCAGGGCCUUGAAAUAAGAGGAGAAAGGGCACCUUGGUGGUUCAGUUGGUUAAGAGCCUGACUCUUGAUUUCAGCACAGGUCAUGAUCUCACGGUUUGUGAGUUCGAGCCCUGCAUUGGGCUCCGUGCUGACAGUGCAGAGCCUGCUUUGGGAUUCUCUGUCUCCCUCUCCCUGCCCCUCCCCUGCUCACUCUCUAUCGCUCUCUCUCUCUCAAAAUAAAUAAAUAAACAUUAAAAAAAUAAAGUUCAAAGGUCUUCAUCAAUUAAAAAAAAAGAAACAAGAGGAGAAGAAAACAAUAGGAGGGAAGAGACGAAAAAUAAAAAAGGAAUAGAUGAAAAUAAAGAAGCCAAUGAGAAGAUGUGGGACAAGAGAAGUCUGGACAAGAAGUCUCUGCUGAAAUCACUCAUUAACUCUGAGGCAUUCAUCUCUUUUUCUUAAUGUUUUUUUCUUAUUACAAUAGUCAUUAAUUGAUUUUGAAAAUUAACAGUGAAAGUAUAUGAAAACAAAAGUGAAAAAUG